rnacentral:rRNA from 1 species
CUAACGACUCUCGGCAACGGAUAUCUCGGCUCUCGCAUCGAUGAAGAACGUAGCGAAAUGCGAUACUUGGUGUGAAUUGCAGAAUCCCGUGAACCAUCGAGUCUUUGAACGCAAGUUGCGCCCGAAGCCACCAGGUCGAGGGCACGUCUGCCUGGGCGUCACGC